CUGUUAGUUCUUAGGUGAAUUUGAUAAUUUAUUACCGAAUAAAAUAUAGAAGGUUUGACGAUGAGUCGAAAUAACGUGGCUGUAGACAUGAUGAAUACCCCUCUCAGUGAUUAUUAAAAUAUGCCAAGCCGGGAGGAUUAUGAUACACAAGCAAUUUUUCCCUCAUUCUCAGUGAGUGAAGACUAGUGAGGAUCUUUCUGAGGUUGGUUGUGAUUGAAGGGCUGGUGGGGCCCACAAUAGGUGCACACUCAUUACUGACGCUGCAGGAAACGCAGCCUCAACCGUAUAUAAACCCGGGCAGGUACUGAAGGAGACACAGACGGCCAGGUAUCCCAGCGCUCCUCUGUUCUUCAGCCCAGCUCAGUGUUCCUGCUCCGAGAUGAAGGUCUUGAUACUGUCAGGGGUCCUUCUUGUGGCGGCUGUCUUCGCUCUGCCACAAACGAACCCUUUCCCGAAGCCUCCAAUCUCAUCACUCUUUCCCGGGAACUUUACAUUCCCCAAGAACUUUACAUUACCCGGGAACGGUACAUUCCCCAAGAACUUUACAUUACCCGGGAACGGUACAUUCCCCGGGAACUUUACACUUCCCAAGCUGCCUUUCAGUAAGGCUCUACCUCCAACUGGCUAAACGCAGAUGAAGCUUCCUCGGCCCACUCCAACUUAAGAUAACAUGAUAUCGUACGACACUUUUUUUUAUUGACAAACUUACUUAAUAUUAGUAAUAAAGUAAUAUAGAAUUACCAGUAUAUGUAUAUACUGGUAAUUACUAUAUCAUACUUUAUAAUGGACGUUUUGUCUUGUCCGUGCAUAACUCUGACCUAAGUAAAUAUCAGAGAUUUCUUCCUUUUAAGCAUUAAUUGUUGGAUAUUUUCUACAAAAGCUUUAGUGCUGGAAUUAGCAAUAUCUAAGUUUAUAUCAGUUUUAUAUUUGUAUAACGUGUGUGUGGAUUAAAUGAUCAACACUUCGUUUAUUAAUUUAACCUCAUAAGUGUUUAAAAAGGAAAAUUAAUUGUAUUUUGUGCUUACUUUCAUUAAAUAUAAUCAUAA